CAACACACACUGUAAAAAAUUUCUGUAAAUUUACAGCGUAUUAACAGCGUAAAUAUACAGUACUGAACUGUUUUGUAAAAUUACGGUGUCUUACCGUAAAUGCACACGUGAUCGGUGGGAGAGGGGGAACCAAACGGUAGCUGACGCAUAGAGGAGCAUGGUUUCAGUCAAAGUUUUAUGGAUUUCAUCUCAAGUUGACGCUCAUUUACAGGUUGCAGCAUCUGCAUCUGAUAUUGAGAAGACACUCAAUCUACCUGCCAAUCCUCAUCUGAUUUUGCUGGUCAACACUUUUGACUGCAGUUGCAACAGUGUUUGCUGUGUACUACAUCUUCAACCUGCAGUAUCAAGAGGCGGCUUGUUGCACGUAAGAAAGGUAAGUUUUUUUCAGUAUAUCAUCAUCUGAAACACUGCCAAAUGUGGUUUUAUUCGCAUGCCAGGCACGGAUAAAAUAGGAGAAAG